GUACGAUAUGUUCGAAGAUAUUGCAAAAAUCAAAAUUUUCAAAUAUGUUUUUUUUCGGAUAACUUGUAAAGUACUUCAUGGAUUCAUUCCAAAAUAUAUCCAGCUCUAAAAUUUACAAGGUACGUCGAGUGCCACCUCAACCAUCAAAAUCGGUUAAUUUAUUUCAAAAUAAACCGUUAUCGAAAGAAUUGCGAAAAAUUGUUUCUAAUUAAAUUCAAAUUGUUUAACUAAUCAAUUAAAGUUGUUUUUGAACGUUAAUGAUUAAGAAACUGGAUUGAAUGCCACCUUGAACGUCAAAAUCGGUUCAUUAUUAUAACCGGGCAGCGUUGGUAUACGACAUGAGAGUGCGGCUCUCUCGCUGUCUCUGUCUGAAUUUGGUCUUUCUCUGUCUCUCAUAUUACAGCCUGAUUGCUAAGUUUGGCUGGGUUAAGCGCUAGACCACAGGGGAUGAUUUCGCGCAGCAGGUGACCGUAAGUCGGUCAUGUGCGCAUAAUUAGGUAGGGGUCAUCGGAGGUUGGGACCUGAGACGUCUCGAUCAGGAUCGACAUUCAAGUCCAAGCUAUCGACUCGACAUUUAAGUGCAGGCAAUCGAUUCAAGUGCAGGCGAUCGAUUCAAACGACACUCAAGUCAAAGUGCUGAUACAUACAGCCUCGUUACUCGUUGCUCGAUUGUGAAAACUGUAAAAAUUCUAAAUUAUUUUGCUCUCUCUAUAAACUGGUUUAUAAAACCAAAUUUUGUUAAGUUGAUUAUCUAAGUGAUUUGUGUGAGAGUAUCCAGCACCAAGUCCAACAUCAACAGCCAGGAUCCGGAAGAGAAGGUCCAACAUGCAGCGGCGUCCAAUACCAUCAAUAUAUAAGAUGCUAUGAACGUCGAGCUCACGGUUGUCCUGCUCGGGGAAAAAUAACAAAUGAUGAACUUGAUUUAUCGAUCGUUCAUAACCAUGUAAGAAAUCCUCAGUUGCAGAAAUAUUGCAUCUUUCAAGAUGCAUUGUUUAUUGCGGCAACGGCACGCCCUUAUAGAUCCCUGAAAGUUAUAUUUGACCAUUUGAGUGUGCAAAAUCAUGAAGCAGCGUCACAAUUCACAUGGCGGAAAAUGCAGCCGCUUAUGGAAAGUUGGCGCCGCAGUGACCGACCACCUCGUCCACCGAUUCCAAGCAAUCUACAACAGUUUGCCGAUUUUUUAAACAUGCCACAGUGGGCCUAUAAUUAACUUUACUAUGAAUAAUUUUUAGUUUUAAAUAAUUCACCAGAAAUAAUAAAUAUAAUCAUAAAUUUUAACGAUUUGAGAAAAAUCUCUGCUCCAAUUUUUUAAAUGUACAUCAAUAAUAAAUUAUGAAGCAGAAAAAUUAAUUAUUUAAUUAAUAAAAUUUUACUGAAGUAAUCAUUACAGAAAAAAAAAUUAAUCAGUUGAUAAUAAAAUAAUUGCACAUUAAAUUUUUGUCAAUAAACAAUUAAAUUAUUGCACUUCAGUUUAAUGGUACGGUGUUACAAAUUUUUUUUAAUUAGUUGGAUUUAUUUUUUAAUUAAUGAACACGGGGUAAUCGAUAUUCACAAUCGAUAUAAUUGCGGUCUUA